CAGUAGCUCAGUUGGUUAGAGCACCUGACUGUUAAUCAGGGGGUCGUUGGUUCAAGCCCAU
rnacentral:tRNA from 2 species